UGAUUCCUGUCAAAUUCUGAUGUUUUAAGUUAUUUGGCAUUAUUAGCUAAGGGCUAAGCUAACUAGCUGCUAUCUGGUCUGUUUAGACGAU